GGGGUUGGGGAUUUAGCUCAGUGGUAGAGCGCUUGCCUAGGAAGCGCAAGGCCCUGGGUUCGGUCCCCAGCUCCGGGGAAAAAAAAAAAAAAAAAAAAUUU
rnacentral:scRNA from 1 species